UCAGGAGUUUAUCAGCUGUGUGGUUUUCUGCAGAGUCCACUCUGUGGUCUGCAGACUCUGAGGUUGUGGGGCUGCGGUUUGUCAAAGAUCAGUUGUUCUUCUCUGGCCUCAGCUCUGAAGUCCAACCCCUCCCACCUGAAGGAGCUCGACCUGAGUCUCAACCAGCUGCAGGCUCCAGAUGUGCAGCAGCUGGUUGAUCUCCAGCAGAGUCCAGACUGCAGCCUGCAGACUCUGAGCUGGAGCUGAGAGCAGAGCUUCAUCCAGCAGUGAGUGACAGAGGAACCAGCAGAAGAUGUGUAGUGUGAAGAACUGUGAGAGUCCAGCAUCAAACCAGGGCUCCUCUCUGGAUGUGAUGCAAAAUCAUCACUGUGUUUGGACUCCUCCUCUCAUGUUUCACUGUCUGCACCUGCACUGUUUUGAAAAUCAGUCUUCUCACUAUAAAAGCUGAGCUGUUUGAGGAAGAAUGAGACAACUCCUGCAGCAGCUUCACGUUAGGUUGUUUUCUCAAGAGUCAUAUGUACUUUCUGGCCUGUAAUUCUCCUGACACCAUGACAUGUGGUAUUGUUAUAGUACUGAACAGUUUUUUUUAAUGAGCAUAUUUUUAUUCUGUAGUUUUACUCAUCAUAUACAUUUGCAGAUAAUGUUUUGUUUUUUCUGUAACCACAGUGCUAUAGACAUAGCUACCUUCCAAAGCUAAACAGUCACAGAGUGUGCUUGGGAGGCUUCAGGGAGGCUUUACGGUCCCUCACCUGCUCGCUGCUUCUCCUGGGGCCACGGGACGAGAGCUCUCUGUAACCCCCGUUACAAAUAAACAGAGCACUUAAUGAUUGAGAAAUGGGUCAAAUAGGAAUAAAUAACUUUAUUAAAAACAUUAUAAAAACAGUUGAAAACGUUGUUACAUAAAUGCUGUUAUCAUUUACGUAAGUAAUUCAUUGGUUUUAAUUUUGUUUAAAAAGAAAAAGUAUUGUACACUUUUGUUUCGAUCAUAGAUUGUAUAUAAAUGGAUAGACGUUUCGUGACGUCACCGAUAGAGUUCCCAACCGCUGUUCUGAAGACUUUACCGAGUCCAGCAGGACGUCUCCACAUUGAAUAUUUGAAACCGGAUGUAAAUGUGAUUGGUCCAGCCCGUCACGUGACCACAUCACAGGGACAGAGGAGGCACUGUGAUAGGGCGAUUUAUGCAAA